CUGGUUGAUCCUGCCAGUAGUCAUACGCUCGUCUCAAAGAUUAAGCCAUGCAUGUGUAAGUAUAAACAAAUUUAUACUGUGAAACUGCGAACGGCUCAUUAUAUCAGUUAUAGUUUAUUUGAUAAUACCUUACUACUUGGAUAACCGUAGUAAUUCUAGAGCUAAUACAUGCAACAAGACCCGACUAGCAAUGGAAGGGUUGUAUUUAUUAGAUAUCAGCCGACCGUCUUCGGACGUAUUUGGUGAAUCAUAAUAACUUAGCGGAUCGCAGAGACCUUUGUGUCGGCGAUGAAUCAUUCAAGUUUCUGCCCUAUCAGCUUUCGAUGGUAGUGUAUUGGACUACCAUGGCGGUGACGGGUAACGGAGAAUUAGGGUUCGAUUCCGGAGAGGGAGCCUGAGAAAUGGCUACCACAUCCAAGGAGGGCAGCAGGCGCGUAAAUUACCCAAUCCCAAUUCGGGGAGGUAGUGACAAUAAAUAUCAAUGCGGGGCACACAGUGUCUUGCAAUUGGAAUGAGUACAAUUUAAAUCCCUUAACGAGGACCCAUUGGAGGGCAAGUCUGG
rnacentral:rRNA from 1 species